ACAAGCCUACGGGACGCAGCAGUGGGGAAUUUUGGACAAUGGGCGCAAGCCUGAUCCAGCUAUUCCGCGUGUGGGAUGAAGGCCCUCGGGUUGUAAACCACUUUUGUAGAGAACGAAAAGACACCUUCGAAUAAAGGGUGUUGCUGACGGUACUCUAAGAAUAAGCACCGGCUAACUACGUGCCAGCAGCCGCGGUAAUACGUAGGGUGCGAGCGUUGAUCGGAAUUACUGGGCGUAAAGGGUGCGCAGGCGGUUGAGGAAGAAAGAU
rnacentral:rRNA from 1 species